ACCGUGGUGUAGGGGUAAGCAUGAUUGCCUCACACCCAGUCGGCCUGGGUUCAAUCCCAGAAGGUA
rnacentral:tRNA from 1 species